CGUAGGUGGCAAGCGUUGUCCGGAAUUACUGGGUGUAAAGGGAGCGUAGGCGGGCAUACAAGUCAGAUGUGAAACCCAUGGGCGUUAACCCAUGGCCUGCAUUUGUAAACUAGUAUGUCUUGAGUGAAGUAGAGGCAGGCGGAAUUCCGAGUGUAGCGGUGAAAUGCGUAGAUAUUCGGAGGAACACCAGUGGCGAAGGCGGCCUGCUGGGCUUUUACUGACGCUGAGGCUCGAAAGCGUGGGGAGCAAACAGGAUU
rnacentral:rRNA from 1 species